CAAGUCUGUCACUUCAAAAGGGCAAACAUGCCACCACACCAAGCUGUGAUUUUUCACCUUGUGCAAUGGAGUCGCCCUGAGAGUCUACAACAAUUCAUCUUAUUUCUGUAAGAGAAGAAUGAAAAUAUCUAACCACCAAGAGAUCAUUUGAAGAUACAUGAACAUCCACGUGCCAGGAAGUAGAGUUCAAGAGUUGUGGUCGAGCUCUGCUUACCUUACAACUUCAGCUCCAGGGACAUCUCUCAAGUGCAAAGCAGGAUGCCAAGGUGGAGUUUGUCCUGUGGAUGCCAGCAGCUUCUCAGUUUGCUGAGAAAUAAAGAGUGAGGUUGAUUUCAGAAGAAAUGAUCUUCACGAUGCUAAGAACACAAGGCGGGAUUUCAAAGGAAGGAACUUAAAGGCCUCAGCUUCAUAUGACUGACCUCAGCUUCUCGUGACCUCACCUGGCUGACCUCAGCUUCUCGUGACCUCACAUGACCAACCUUGCUUCUAAGGAGUGGUGUGAGACCCGUGAAGCCCUUACCAUUCUAAGAAUCUGAUGAGUAAGAAAGGACAAACACAUGACAGGGGAGAACAGGAAAAGAAAUCUUUUCUUCAUCAAAAUGCACCUCUUGAGUCAGGAAAGACUCUUGUCAGAGUCUGGACAGUCUAAUAUCUAUGCACCUUCCAGCAGGUUCUGACUGGGAGCACACUGUAUUUGUGAAGGGAGGCUUUGACUUCAGUGAGCAGAAAGAAUACUGACCUGCAGAGGAUCUGUUCCCCCUACCCCUUACGCCCCCCACCUCUCCCCUCAGCUUUCCUCUAUCCCCCAUCCCUGACACACACAUAAGGUUCCUGGGGAAAUGUUGGGCAUUGGGCUAUGCAAAGACAGUCUGGUCUCCAGUCGAGCUGAGAUGUUGAACCCCAGGACCCAGUGGUGAUAAUUCACCUACAUGGGACAGAAGGAGUUCUCUCAUGUCUCCUGGAACUCUGGCUCCUGUCAAAGUUACCACCCCCUCAGCCCCCACAAAAGAAGCAUGGUUAGUACUCACAUAGGCAAUGUCCCAACCUUCUGACCUUUAGGCUAGACUCCUCCCCAGUUACCUAGCAACAGAAAAGAUAGCAACAUACUUUAAGAGGGGCUGUUUGGCCCCUCCUUGCUCUCUCACUCCUCUCUCUCUCCUCUCUUGCUCUCUUUGUUUUCUCCUCUCCUCUCCUCUCCUCUCCUCUCCUCUCCUCCUCUCUCUAGCCUUUCUUCACUCUCUCUUUUACCUUCUCUCUUUCCCCCUGCCUUUCUAUAAUACAGCUCUAAAACCUUAGUCUCUGCUCAUCAAGGCCCGCUGCGCAGACUCUUGCCUUUGUGGGAACCUCUCUCCCUAAGCCCUCUCUCCCAUAACCCCAGGACACAAUAACCCCAGGGCACAGGGUGUUGCUUCAGGCCCCUUGGUUUCGUGGGCUGCCCCUUGUCCACCCCCACCCCAGUCGAGUUGGGUCAGUGGCUAAGAUGCCCACCUGGGGCUGAGUGGAAAGCGUCUGACAACCCUCCCACAUCUGCCUGCCCAUAGCAUAGGUAGAACUCUAGCAAGAAAUGAGCUAUCCUCCCUCCCCACUCUUUUUCCAGCCCCUUUUUAGUUCCCACAGGGAAACAUUUACUUUGGCUGGUGAAGAACCUAAAUCUGAGAUAAUGGCACGAGUGAUGGGCCUCACAGCCAAUCAACUUUGAUUUUGAGGAGUUCAGCUAUGCUCCUUACAAUAAGACCAUCUCAGCUGUCUAGUUGAUGGUUUAUAUCCAUUUUACCUUCACAUAGAAGAGCAGGGUAUAGCUUGAGGCCCGAACAUCUGCCUAUGUCUGGCAACUCUGCACAUGGCCUAGAAAAAAAAAAAAAGGCUAGAAUAUACAGAGGCCAGAGAAGACUUGGGGACGGGGACUUCAUCUAUGCAGCUAUGGGUAGACUGCCAUCCUUGGGUAAGGUGUAGCGUAUGCCUCCUUUUGUGACUGUGACCUUGGUAGGAGGAGUAGACAUUGCUGAAGUCCCAUCCCUGGGAAGAAAUGCCUUCUAUUUAUCACAGCUUCACUCCAGCCUGAACGGUUUUAUUUUAGGAGAUUUCCUUUAACCUUUCUCAUUACUGUCCUCACCUUUGCUCUUUCUCAAACUGCAUUGUCAACCUGUAUGUCUACUGCAUACAAGUGUAAAUUGAUUGGAAAUCUCCCCCUCCCAAGACCCCCACACAAUAUAUACUUGACCUAUAUAGAUGAUUCAAUAAAUAUUGGUUGAUUUAAUAAUCAUUAAAAAGCUAA
ensembl:processed_transcript